AUAUAAUUUAGGUAUAAUGUACAUGGUCAUUUUACUUUUACUUUGACAUAUGCUUAUGUUCCUUUUUUUGUAGCCAGAUCAAACUCAGCACAGAUGCACAUGCACCGCGUGCCUCACUGAUGUGAGGAUCCAUUUCCUCAAUCCCCUCUUAAUCUCCAACAUCUCCCCCUUCCAAUGUUGGCGUACUUGACCGGAAGUGAGUGCGCGGCGGAGCAAAGAUCAGCCUGGGUCUUCAUCAACGCAAAACGGGGCGGGAGGGAGCGGGAAGUUUUUCAGCCGCAUGAAUGUGGACGGCGACUCAGAGAUGUAUGAAGCUUCUGCCGAGGUAAUUGAUGAGAGAAGCUCUCAUGUUUUGUUCUUGAUCCUCAAACAAAGCGACUGGUCAACAUGUUUCUGUACUAUGCCCAAAUGCCCUUACAUGUUUCAUCUUUCAUUUUUGUAGUCUUAAUAUAUGGGUCUCAUCUAUUUUUGGUUGCAGAUGUUUGAGAGAGGCAGCAUAGACAUAAGAGGGGUUCAAUAUUGUUAACUCACAUCAUCCAGACCAGGUUAGCACACAUGCCAUGCAGAUUCUACUACUUGAUGUAGCCUUUCUCUUAGAUGUAAGUAGUAUAUUUACUGUGCUACUCUUUGAUCUCGAGUAGUUUGUUCAUGUAUUGCUUAAGAUGCCAAAUAGAAUUAAAUGGAAUAUAAGUUUCAAAGUUUCAUUAUGACAGAUGAAAAGUACACGAAGGUAAACUAAUAUGUCUCCUGCCACUCACAUAGUCGUGGUUGUCCUUAACUAUAGUGUAGUUACGAGGAGGAGAUGAACAUGAAGAAUGAGUUCGUAAUGUGGUUGUCAUUGAUUAAUGGCACCCCCAGCAGCGGUGAUAACGACCAUGGAGAGGAGAGCACGAACAUCAACAACCUCUUGGCCUUGUUGGCUUCUCCGACAUCAAUAACGACGAUCAGCUCGCCAUACAGUUGCUAGAGUGCUAAAGAAUGGUCGAGAAGAACAAUGGAUUGUUGAUGGAGCCAAUCAACAAGGACGAUAAGGACGGUCACAACAGUGAGAAUAAGAAGGCGGAGCUCAUCGCCGUCGGCCGCCAGCUCUGCAGGGAGAAGAAGAACGACGAUGCGUUGAUUAUAAAGAAGUUAACAAUGCCACCUGGUGUGCAAAGGGUCCUCAAGGUAUAUGUUAUCCACCAUUGGUAUUGACCCAUUAGAAUAUGUAAGCCCUCGAUGCAACAUACGGGCAAUUUAUAUACAUCGUAGCCCAUAGCAACGUUGCCUGCAGCAUUGAAGUUGUAUAUAUUAGAAUAGAGUUAUGACGGCAUAAUUUUUUCCGUCACAAGUUAAAUGAGCAUUGUGUAAAAGUCUAACUAAGUUUUCUUUCGCAUUCUUCUAUAAAUUGGAAGUCCAAUAUAGAUUUCUCAAUGUAUCAUUUUGGGAUUAUUUGACCAUCGGACAAUAUUGCCAUGCUGACCAUUUCUCUUGUCUUUGCAAUAUCUAUAGGAUCUAAUGUAAAAGUAUAAUGUGCUUCACAAAUUUUUUAUUUCUUUUGAUUUUGCCUUGCUUGUUAUUUAUGCUUAUAGCUUUAUAUGCGAGAUUCUAUUUAGCGACACCUUUUUCAAUUGUGCGUUGAGGUGCUUCUGAGUUUA
rnacentral:lncRNA from 1 species